ACAGCAUCAACAUGGAUUUCUUGGAAAAAUGCUAGAGAAGAAGCUUUGUGCGGUUAUACGAUUACCAUCAUAGACACUGUUCCUUUCUCAAGAUAAAAAAACCAUUUCGCUUAUUUGGAAUGCUUUUACUUCAGUCAACAACUAUCACAACAACAACAAAGAGUUGGCCGUGAACGAGUCAGGGUGCAGAAGGCCCAACGCAAUUAGUGGGCGUGGGUCAGGGACAUAUGAAGUACUUGUAAAGCAACUUGGAGAAGAUGACUCGGGACUUAAAGAACUGGAUGAAAACUUUUAAAACCCGGGAGGCGCAGGUGAAAGAUGGAUGCACAAAAACAGAAAGGACAAGCUGUAAAUGUGGUUUCUGCUCGAGCAACGCUCGAUCUCUUAAAGGUAUGUCACGAACUAAGGAUUGGAAAAAAGGAGAACCUAACCAGCCGGGUUGGUUAGGUUGGCAGGACUGGCUGGUUUAUAUGGUUUUACAGUUUAGUUUUGAUGGUUUAGCAGUUUUAGUAAAAAAAUUAGCAUAAUCUUGGAUUUAACUUUAAAAAAUGUUAAGCAUUGAUCAUGAAUAUAAUAAAAGAUGAAAAAAAUAUUAAUCAUAAAUGCUAAAUGGUCGGUUCAGUUUACACGGCCAGUUCCAAGCUCCAAAGCGUAAACCAAAUCGUCAAACUGUUAAAACCAAACAAUGUCCACAAAAUAUAUAUUUAACAGUGGCCUAACCGGCCGACGUUCUUCGGUCUUGGCUGUUUGGCCGGUUUUGGCGGUUUAUGAACACUCAUAAUAGUGUUUACAGGUCAUCCCAACUCGAACCAUGUUGAAUUUUCCCAUUUGACCCAAACCUGCUUGGAUUUUCAUUGAAGAUAUUUUGAUCAUACACCCCAUUCAAUGUUUUCUUCAUUGUUAACUGAAAAAUGGGUCUUCAUAACUACUUUAACAAAGUAUAUAACAUGAGGCGCGCCCCUCAACUGUGUCUUAUGAUAAUUUUUUGCCUAAAAGUUGCGCCUCACCUGCGCUUUAUUUACAACACUCGCCUUAUGUAGCCUGAAGCGCAAGACCUUGUGCCUCAGGCGCACCUUUAUUUGAGAAGCUUUGAUAUAAAUAUCAUUAUAAAAUUAUUUAGAGCUCAACUUAGGAGACAUAGAAUUUUCGAUAUCUUUUGAUAGUACUACUUGAAUGAGUUGGUUGAGGUAAAUAAGAGUUAAUUUUUUUUUAGUUUUUGUUAUGCUAAUGAAGUUUUAUUUCAUCUAAUUUUUUAAUAGUUUUUUUGUGGCAUCUUUAACUCAUUUGACGGACAUCUCUUUACCCGGUACAUAAAUUUAACCUCUUGAUGCGAUGUGUGCAUUAUAAAACUGUCACCGACCUUUGACCCAUUUGACCUUUUAAGUUUUUUUAAUCUCAUUUGACCCACUAUAUAAAAAUAUAACCCAAAUUUCUUAUUGGUAAAUACUUUU